rnacentral:rRNA from 1 species
CCAGCACCCCGAGUGGUCGGGACGAUUAUUGGGCCUAAAGCAUCCGUAGCCGGUUUUACAAGUCCUCCGUUAAGUCCAACUGCUUAACAGAUGGGCCGCGGAGGAUACUAUAAGACUAGGAGGCAGGAGAGGCAAGCGGUACUCAGUGGGUAGGGGUAAAAUCCGUUGAUCCAUUGAAGACCACCAGUGGCGAAGGCGGCUUGCCAGAAUGCGCUCGACGGUGAGGGAUGAAAGCUGGGGGAGCAAACCGGAUUAGAUACCCGGGUAGUCCCAGCUGUAAACGAUGCAGACUCGGUGAUGGACUAGCUUUAUGCUAGUCCAGUGCCGCAGGGAAGCCGUUAAGUCUGCCGCCUGGGGUAUACGGUCGCAAGACUG